rnacentral:rRNA from 1 species
AUUGAACGCUGGCGACAUGCCUUACACAUGCAAGUCGAACGGCAGCACGGGUGUUUGCACCUGGUGGCGAGUGGCGAACGGGUGAGUAAUACAUCGGAACAUGUCCUGUAGUGGGGGAUAGCCCGGCGAAAGCCGGGUUAAUACCCCAUACGAACUACGGACGAAAUCGGGGGACCUUCGGGCCUCCCGCGGUAGGGUUGGCCGUGGGCUGAUUGGCUAGUUGGUGGGGUAAAGGCCUACAAAGGGGACGAUUAGUAGCUGGUCUGAGAGGACGACCAGUCACACUGGGACUGGGCCACGGCCCAGGCUCCUACGGGAGGCAGCAGUGGGGAAUUUUGGACAAUGGUCGAAAGCCUGAUCCAGCAAUGCCGCGUGUGUUGAGAAGGCCUUCGGGGUGUAAAGCACGUUUUUCCGGAAAGAAAUGCUUGGCCCUAAGACGGUCGGGGGAUGACGGUACCGGAAGAAUAAGCACCGGCUAACUACGUG